rfam:Bacillus sp. TS-2 DNA, contig: BspTS2nb05.
UAUAAAAUUGGAUGCGUUGAAUGGUUAUCUUUAUGUGGGCACUUGGAUAAUCAGGAGCAAGUAGUGCAACCGGCCAAGUUUGUA